GUGGCGCACGGGUGCGUAACGCGUAUGCAACCUACCUUAAUCAGGGGGAUAGCCUCUCGAAAGAGAGAUUAACACCGCAUAAAAUCACACUUCGGCAUCGAAGAAUGAUCAAAUAUUUAUAGGAUUAAGAUGGGCAUGCGUGACAUUAGUUUGUUGGUGAGGUAACGGCUCACCAAGACUACGAUGUCUAGGGGAUCUGAGAGGAUGACCCCCCACACUGGUACUGAGACACGGACCAGACUCCUACGGGAGGCAGCAGUAAGGAAUAUUGGUCAAUGGGGGCAACCCUGAACCAGCCAUGCCGCGUGCAGGAAGACGGCCCUACGGGUUGUAAACUGCUUUUAUACGGGAAUAAACCUCUCUACGUGUAAGAGUUGAAUGUACUGUAAGAAUAAGGAUCGGCUAACUCCGUGCCAGCAGCCGCGGUAAUACGGAGGAUCCAAGCGUUAUCCGGAUUUAUUGGGUUUAAAGGGUGCGUAGGCGGCCUAUUAAGUCAGUGGUGAAAUCUUUCGGCUCAACCGGAAGCUUGCCCUUGAUACUGAUGGGCUUGAUUACACUUGAGGUAGGCGGAAUGUGACAAGUAGCGGUGAAAUGCAUAGAUAUGUCACAGAACACCAAUUGCGAAGGCAGCUUACUAAGGUGUUAAUGACGCUGAGGCACGAAAGCGUGGGGAUCAAACAGGAUUAGAUACCCUGGUAGUCCACGCCCUAAACGAUGAAUACUCGAUGUUAGCGAUAUACAGUUAGCGUCAAAGCGAAAGCGUUAAGUAUUCCACCUGGGGAGUACGCCCGCAAGGGUGAAA
rnacentral:rRNA from 1 species